rnacentral:lncRNA from 1 species
UUGUGUGGCUUUUAUAAGUAUGUGUAAUAAGAGUGACUGUUUUCGUUUUGUACAACAUGUGACAUUCACUAUGAGAAGAUUAUGGAUAUGUACUAAGCUUACUGGGGAAAGAUCACUCGAUAAACACAAGAGCGAGUUGAAUAUGAACUGAGCCUGCCAUGCCGACUUUAUCGGGGUGACUUUUAGAAUCUGAGAAAUCGGGAUUUUGAAGAAUUCAAACUCAGUCGUACAUACUAAGUGACGCUUUAUUCUCCUCCAACCAUGAGUUCAAUACUAACACCGUGUGCAACAUACUCUUAAGACUGGAUGCUACACAUAGAUACAAUGCUUCGCUUUGUGUUUGGUUUGGUAGCGAAGUAAAGGAACAGUAAAAUGUUACCGGAUGUUCUCGCAAAAACAAAGUUUGGGAUAAAAUGCUGGCGUAGUUGAUAUGAGUGUCGGGGAAAUCAAAGGUUUCUUGUUCAAGUUUCACCACCUACGGUGCAUGAGCUUUUAUGUAGCUCGAUACCUUUGCUCAUGCCUCUGCAUUAUUAUAAAACAGUCGGAGAUAUUGCGCAAGUUUCCUAAAAUUAAAAACGACACUUCUAUUGUUUUUUAUUUGGAAUUAGAGUGGAGCAAUGUUGUUUUGUUUUGGUUUAGGAAAAUAACGCAAAUAGUCAUUAAACUUUGGUCCAAUGUGUUAUGUUCUUACUGAACUUUUAAUUUAUUUAGUAUGGUUGUCGAACUUUUUGUACAUGUUUAAUUUAGAUCCUAGGCUAGAUAAAUCUAAUGACGCUGUGUUUGGUCGUUCGAACAUCUUUGCUAUAUGGGAUAAUGAUAGGAUAAAAAUCCCAUCUAAUAUUUCUUGACGUCCGGAUAUAACAUGAUUCAAAUAAAACAAAUUUAAAUGAGUGUUUGAUUUGUAUAAUUAAAAUUAAAAGUAAACCAUGGAAGUCGUGAAUAGUAUUCAUCCUUUCACAAUCUUCAUCGAUAUUAAACACCCCCGUUCCAUGUGACUUCAAGGACGCUCUCCUUCUGCAACGCCCCUUUCGCUGCCCUUGAUCAACUUGAUGGAUUACGCUCGCUCUACCUUUGACUUCGCCACAUUGAGAGGCCCUUGGGUUUGAGUUCUCCGCUGGUCUAGCCAUCUUUACUUUCAACGCCUUUUCCUGCGAUGAAUCCAUCCCCUUCGAUGAGUGUGAAUACUGCGUUGAUUCCCUGUUACCGUGUCCCGACUUGUUCAGUCACUUCAACAGCUUCCCCGAGACAGCGUGCGGAUCCGGUUUAUGAGUGGUAGCAGCAUCGGUACAACUCGCUCCAAGUGACGUGGUUGAGGAGCUCUAUCACCUUGGCUGCUGCCUCUUUCGGAUCAUCUUCUUCACAGAGGAGGUGUCCAGCUUUGAUCGGGAUCACAAAGUUCCCAACUAAAAUGGAGUUAAGUGACAUAAGAAAGAGGCAGGGCUGACGAGCUCCGGCGCCACUUUUCCGAGGCAGCCAAAGGUGGUAAGCAGCUUGUCACUGGUAGGAGGAACGGUGGCCCUUAGAGUUUGCUCAGGUCGUUGUGGCGAGGGCUUCUCUAGGUAUCUUCGUGAUACUCAUGCUUUAAGUUUGUGGUGGUCAUUUUAGCGAGAAAAAUCGGAACGAGAGAGAGAUGAUGGUGGCACUGGUAAAAAAUGAGGAUAAGCCAUCAACAAGCGCAGGAGUGGGGGAAAAACUUGUAUCCCUUAUUUUUUCAAUUUUCCAAAUUUCACAUAUCCUAUCUAGAUCUAUAUCACUUUUUAGAUGGGAUUUUUUAUCCAGACUAUAUCUAAAUUUCACUAACAUCGGGACCCCUAGAGUGCCAAAAGUUUGCACAAAAAGACAAUUAAGUGUCAAAAGUUAUGAAAAUGACACUUAAGUGCUAAAAUUGGAAUAAAAUAGAUCACUUAAGUGCAAAUCUGGUCAAAAUAUUGACAUGACAAUUUUCCAGCAAAACAAGUGCAAAACGGUGUCGUUUUGGUGCUGACAUGGAAAAAAUUAAUACAAAAAUUAAUUAAAUGAAAUUUAAAAUUAAAUUUAAUUAAAACAUUUAAAAAUAAAAAUACAAAAAUUUUAAAAAAGGAGAGAGGCGGUUGAGGGCUGAGCCCUUGUCGCUAGGAAGGGUCGGAGAUGGAGGGGGGAGGGUUAGCCGGGGUUGCCGGGCCCUAGGCCAGGGGCCGGCGACCUCGGCCAACUGGUGGCAAGGGCCCGCGAGCCCUCGCCUAGUUUUGGGGCGAGGGUUGCGGCCCUCACCUAGUUGAGCCAAGGGCCGCCGAUCCUCGCAGAAUCUGGGUGAGGGCUGCAACCCUUACUAGAUUUGGGCAAGGGCUCGUGAGCCCUCGCUGCCGGUUAGUUGGGGUCGCUGGCCCCUAGCUAGGGCUCAGCGACCAUGGUUGACCCUCCCCCCUCCGUCGUUGACCCUUCACGGUGACGACAGCGAUGGCUCAACCCUUAGCUACCUCCCCUCCCCCCCUCUUUGUCUCUCUGUCUCUGUCUCUCUCUGUCUAUAUAUAUAAAUAUUUAUGAUUUUUUAAUACUUGUAUUUGUAUUUUUAAAUGUUUUAAAUAAAUUUAAUUUUACAUUUAAUUUAAUUUACAUUAUUUUUUUACCAUAUUAACACCAAAACGACGUCAUUUUUGCAUUGUCUAGCUACGACAGUGUGCAAAAUGAUGCCGUUUUGCACUUACUUCGCCAGAAAUUGCGUACAUCAGAGCCAUGAUUUCGUUUGUAAUAAUAUCCGUUCCAUAUGCUUAAUAGGUGAAUCCAAUGCUGAGAAGGUUUCUUCACAUCAUGACAGAUCUAGAAAUACUAGAAGCAUCUGUUUCUCUUACUGCAUCUCCAUCUUUUUCAACCCCUUCAGAUUUUCAUGUUUUAAAUGCUUCUAAGAUAUACUAUCUCUAUGAAAUCUCUCUUAGCGAUGAAACCAAAAUCUCUGAAACUUAACUUUCCCUGAUGAACUCAUAUUUUGCUUUUGCUAAACCCACCUCAUCCUUUUCUCCCAUUCGUUCCAUUCGCCAACUUAUUCGCCAAACUCCAAAGGAAGUAAAUGAGUACGUUAAGUCCUUCAAGUUCGACCAACAUCCCAUUCUCGCCAUUGAAAAUGAGUACUUUGUUACUCUCUAGAUUCCUCCAGAGUUUCCUAGGCAAUAGAUUCAAAAAGGAUAGUCUCAUGUCCAUUAUGGAGUUGUUCGUCUUGCUCUUACUUUUUAUGGCCGCAAGGGCUUGCCAGUUGUGGCAAGAAUAGCAUUACUGGAUACUAGAUUUCUAAAGUACUAGUAUACUUGUAUCAGUACUAUCCAAACCACUUUAAAUGUUGGAAUAGUUUUUGUGACUUUGUAUCCAAAUUUCAAUUUGCUCUUUCAAAUCCACAGUUACUUUCCUUUUUGAAAGUCUAAGUUUAGCUCACUGGAGCACCUCAGACAGCUGAUUCUGUUGUUGCAACACUACACUACUAGAUCGUUUAUUAAGUGCAGAACCAUGCUCUUGACUUGAAUUUCCACAAUGAAAAUGAAGAUGCUUUAUUCAUCUCCAUGCAAAAUGAUCAUGCAUCCUGCAUUCAUGUUCCCAGACAUAUCCCAAAGGAAAAGUUGCCAAGCUUCUUCUAGAGACUUGGAUCACUAACUAUGAAAAGUUACAUCAGAAUAACAAACCUUUCUAGUCUUCAGACUUUGAAUUUGUCAGAAAGAAAGAUGGAACUGUUUCCAUCAAAUUUGGCAAGGAAAAUAAAGAAAUUCUUUUUAUCUUCCAAAUCCUCUUUAUGAUCGAACCAUGUGUUCCGAGCUAGAUAAAAAAAAAAGAAGCUUGUUUAAUACUUCAAAAGUGAUUAACAUCAUGUCCAUUACUACAAAGACUAGUAUGGUCACUGUUUCUAAGAUCCUUUUUGUCAAUGUUCUUUUUGCACAAACUCUCCCGACGAGGUAGACCCAUAUGCAAGACCUCGACGGAAGCAUAAGAAGCCAAAAGAUCCUAUGUACCAAAGGUACUUGAAUGGAGAUCCCUCCGUUGAUACUCUUGGUGAGUGUGAUAAAUUCUAGUUUAUGGUUUCCUAUACACCAACUCCACCACCAGAGUUCAUUACUCCACUAAUAUCACCAAGUUCAUCACCAUCACCUCCUCCAUCUCCUCCAAAAAAAAAAGAAAACCAACUCUUUCCCCAUUUUAUAAGCCAAUCUUAAAGUGGGCGAAUAAAUAUUCCUACCCACUUGAGGCUCUAGCAGAACACCACCAAGUUCUUUCAUAGCCAUGUUCCAUGAGACAUACUUUCCUCUUUUUAUUCGAGAAAGUUAUAAUCUCGUUUCCUGCUCCAAAAGAAUUCAUUGAUCUACAAGGCAGAUAUCGGCAUGCCCCUAAGAUACCUACCCCCACUGAUGUGGAUGGACAUGGAAGAUAGAAAAGGACUCCUGUUGUUGAAGCUGUCCUAAAUUGGCAAUCGGAAACUCUUUUAGCAUAUAACAAUGCGUUCAAAGCAAUUGAUUCCAAGAUUGUAAAUGUGCAACAAGAUUUUCGAAAUAUGAUGAAACCACCAAGAAGAUGCUUUCAGAUUUCCAAAAGAGGCUUCAUGCCUUGGAAUCUAGAUAACAUUUAGGGUGUCAUCAUCUCGAAAGUCCUAAGGUGGAAAUAGAGAAGCUCAAAAGGCAAAUUCAACUCCUUGAAGAAGGAAGAUUCAAUCCAUUUCCGACUACUUUGCGGACAGAGCAUCCCCCUCUUCCACUAGCCCAUAACACAUCUAUCUUUGUUGCUAUCACAGAUGUUCUUGUUAGGCAAGAUAAGACAAAUGUGGCUGAAAUGCGAAAUCUUCUCAAAGAACUGGACUGAAUAAGAAAAGAAAAGGGAAAAGAGAAGAUGCCUAAAGAAUCCUUGCUUGUCAUAAGGAAAAAGCCAGAUCAAUUGAUGCUGUCGAAUCUAUUAGAAUCUUUCCGAAGAGAUUUGGGUAAUCAGGAAUCACAGUCUGAUCUUGUUACUCAACAUCUUGAUCCCGUCAUUCCAACAGAUCAGAUUCUAUUUUCAGCAGAACUAGCUUUUCCAAAUAUCUUUGAUACUGAAUUAAAUUCGGUAUCCCUCUUGUCCUCCUCAUCCUUCUCAAUCCCUACCAUUGAUUCCUUCCCUAUUGUACUAGUAAUUUCAUCAAUAUUCAUGAUCGAUCAUCCGGACCAAGAUAUGGAAUCAAACCAUUCUGAACCAAAGGUUGUUUAGCCAAACAAUCCCUCCCAGCACGUGUAUUUUGCAUCAAAAUAGUUUAUUUAUUUAUUUAUUUAUCGUUGAUGACAUUCCCUAUCACAAAUGGCCAUAAAGACUUGAAGAAUUUCAUACUUGGUUAAAUACCCAAACCCUUACCAACCAGGAUAAGUAUGAUGUCAUUUUUGAUUUUGUCACAAGGUUUACAGGUAGCCUCAAAUAUUGGUGGCAAUCUGUGUUAGAACAAGACCGGCUUCAAUUUUUACUCUCACUUGAUUUUGGUCAUGCCAUUAUCCUUCUAUAUCAUUUCUUUGUGGGAAAACCUUUUGACCUCCAAGAGCUUAAAAGGAGAGAAUUUUUCGAAAGAAGAUGCUGCUUCUUCCAGAAAAAAACAUCUUGAUAAAUAUUAUCGAGAAAUGUUUAAGCUCUUCUAUGGUAUUGGAGCUGAUCCAAACCAGAAACGCAUCUUCUUGACUUCCAUCCCCAAAGAAUUGUCUCAAUAGGUGGAGAGAACUUUUCUCAGCAAACAAAGAAGGAUUCAGGAUAUUCCGUUAGGAGAAAUCUAACAAGAAAUUCAUUUGUGCCUUGAAGAAUUGUGUAUCAAAUGCCAAAUGAUCCAGACUUAUGUCGACAAUAACAGAGAACUUGAUAUAGCAUGUUCUCGCCAUAAGCUAAAGAUCAAAUGUUCAAAGCGAGAUUGUGAUGGUUCUUGCGGAAAAUUUUCCAGAAAAAAGCACUUCAAGAAGCUCUGGAUAAUGAAAUCUAGGCGUGGCUCUAAGCAUUUUUGAAGAAAGAAGAAAUGGCGACACCUAUGCAAAAGGAAAGAUCACUCAGGCCACAAGAAGUCAAAUCAAUGCUUCAUCUGCAAUUAGAAAAGACAUUUUGCCAAAAAUUAUCCCCAAGCGAGAAAAUGUCAAAAUCAUAUGAUAUAUCAUAUAGAGAAUGAAACAGGUAAUUCUCUUGAAAAUGAUAAUAUCGAAUCUUUAUUAUCUGAGAAUGAAGAACCAUCUGAAUAAACUCUUUGUGUCAUUCCUUGUUACGAAACUUCUAGUGAAAUUGAUUCGGAUUCAAAUCCUGAAGAUAUUUUUCACAUAUCUCUCACUUCUUCAGAAUAAAGCACUAACAUAUUUUCAAGCUAAAUUCAUUGUCCCCAUUUCCCUGUGAAAAUCUUCACUUCAAAGUUUGCCAAGCCUUUCAUUGUCAUUGCUCUCAUAGAUACUGGAGCAAGUUCUUCAAUCUUGGACACCAAAGUUAUUCUUGAAGAAUAUUGGACUUCCUAUGUUUGAUACUUCAAUUCUACCUCAGGAGAUACUUUUUCUACGAAUGUAAGAACUACCCUAGUAAUCAUCUAAUUUUUUCCACAGUGUUCCAUAACCAUAAAAAUCUCUGGUUCCAGUCUUCCCCACAAGGAUUUGAUCAUUGGCUGGGAUAUCAUGACUAAAAUUUCUCAACUUCGUAUCAUUUCUAGAAAAUGUCUUAAGUAUAAGGACUAAUUUUCUAAAUUCGUCAAUAUCCAAAGACUUUUUUUCCAUCCAAAUGAGCCUGCUAGACCCCAUCAUGCAAAAGUUGUUAAAAUCAUGUUUGGAAUUUCAUUUUGAAUUUGCUCAAAAAUGUUCUCACCCUCUAUGGGAAAAUUUAGAGUUCUUUGUUUGCCUUCCUUUUUUAAAAAAAAAUGAGGAUAUCAAUCUAAACAAGGCGAGUUACAUGGGAAUGAAGUCAGAACACUUGGUUUUAACUCAAAGGGAAUGUUCGGAACUAUUGCAGCAAUGCCUUAUUGAAAUCUCCAAUUCUCAAUGGGCCUGUGAAGCUUUUUUAUGUCAAUAAGCGUGCCGAACAAAAUAGAGGAAAUAUGAGAAUGGUAAUUAACCAUCAGCCUCUUAACAUUUUUUUCCAAGAUGAUAAAUUCCCUUUACUCUCCAGAAAUUCCCUAUUUACUAGAUUAUCCAAAGCCCAUAUUUACUCUAAAUUCAAUCUCAAAGCCAGAUUUUGGCAAUUGUGCAUCCAUCCUAAAUACAGACCCAAGAUAGGGUUCUGUAUCAUGAACCAACAUUUCCAAAUGGAAAGUUAUUCAUUUUGGUCUAAAGGUGGUACUAUCCUUAUUCCAAAAGGUCAUGUGUCGAAUUUUCCAACUAAUUUUGUCAAGUGCAGUAAUAUACAUUGACGAUAUCGUGCUUUACAAUCUUAAUGAGCAGUCACACUGCCAACUUCUUAAACAGUUUGUAGAAAUUGUGUAAAAGCAUGGGAUCAUGCUUUCUCAAAAAAAGAUGAACAUUGUCCAUAUAUAAAUUGAAUUUCUUGGUAUGACCUUAACAAAGGUAUGUAUUAUCCAUGGCCAUAUAUUGCUCAUGAAUUGUUGAAAUUUCCUGAGGAAAAUUUCACAACAAAGCAAGUUCAGCAAUUUCUUGGAAUAAUUAAUUAUCUCAAAGAUUUCGUUCCAAACAUUGCAGAACUGUUGAUUCCAUUGAAAUUGAUGCUGAAAAAGAAUCCCCCACCUUGGAGAAAAUCUCAGACUAAAGCAGUCGUCGAACUUAAGGAGAUUAUGUAGACUCUUCCUCUGUUACAAAUCCCAUCGAUAAGGAAGAUAAUUCUCUAGAUCGGCGCCAGUGAUGAAUACUGGACAGCCAUCUUGUUUGAAGAAAUUGAUGGUAAGAGACAUCUGUGUACCUAGAAAAGUGGAAAAUUUUCCCAAGCUGAAAUGCAUUAUCAUUCCACUUUCAAAGAAAUCUUGGUGAUGAAAAAUGGAAUAAAAAAGUUCGAAUUCCAUCUCAUUGGCCAUCACUUCAUGGUAAAAUUGGAUAUCCUCAGAUGAUCAAGUUCAAACAGAAGCAGAUUUCGAAUUUUCAACUGCUUCAAUGGGCUGAAUGAUUUUCAAAAUACUCUUUUGAAACCAAACAUAUUGCCGGAAAAAAAAAUGUGCUUGCUGACUUCUUGUCAAGACCAAAAGCACCAGUAAAAAUCAACAUGUACAUCAUGAGGCAUGCUUUUCAUAUUCUUCAUAACAAUGAAAAGUAUAAGAUUGAAAGAAUACAAGACUAGUCAAGCUGGCAAUAUUACUAGGAGAUUGUGGAACAAAUCUAGAAUGACUGCCUUAUUGAAAAUUUGGAUAAUCUCAUGUGGCAAUUCCACACAGAUCUGUUUAGAUUUAAUGGGGGUUCGAUUCUUUAUCUUUUUAGAUUAAAUUCAGACUAUCCGUUCAUACAUCCUUUAAUCUGGAAGGAAGAUAAUUUCCCUGACCAACUUCGAUGGUUAUUAUGGUACUUAACCAAUAAGUACUGAAUAGUAUUGAAAUUCCAACUAGAAGAUUUAUUACCAACCUCACUAGGAUAUUUAGACUUGGCAGAUGAAACAUUGAAAAAGAGAGUGACAGAAAUCUCAUAGGUUUCCUUAAUUGGUUUUAUCCCUCUACUCACUGGAAAUACCUCUUGCAGAAAGAGCUGAGAACCACACAACUAAACCCUGAGGUCCAUAUUAUUUUGUUUUUUCGACGACCGUGGGCUUUUGUCACAAAUAAUGGUAGCAGUAGCAAUGCCCCCCAAAUUAUAGGUACCACAUCCUAUAAACCUCAACCACAUAGUGUAGAAGCUCAGAUUUACAAAUCUUAUUUAGAACCCGUUGGUUGCUACGAGCACCAGUAUCGAGAACUCCAAAGGAUUUUGUACUAGGAAAAUAAAAUCAUUCCUAAAGAUGCAUGGAACUAUAAUGUACCCACUGUAUGAGAUUAUUAUAGUCUCACACUAGAAGUUAAGGAAGCACUCGAAAUAUUCAGACAAGUUACAUCAUCACAGGAGCAUGAAAUGGCAGACACAGAUGACAUCGCACAGUCCUCUCAAGAUCCCUAUGUCAAAUGGGGAGGUCCUCUUUCUCAAGAUCCCUAUGACCAAGAAACUUUGUCCUUAUCUCAAAGCAUUGACACAUCCUACUAUACUCAGUCAUCCAAUUGGUCUCAGCUAAGCAUUCUUGCCAACACUACAGGCUCCUCUUAGAAUCAAGCGAAAGCAUCCUCGUCAAAUCAAAUUCUCUCACCAGAUUCACUUGUAGGACUUGAGAAAAAAAUAUGAAGAAUAGCUUAUGUCAAUGUAUAGUUCGGACGACUCAGACUAUGACUAUAAUGCUCGUGAUGGACGAGACUAUUGACCGUACAAGUCACUGUAGCAAGUCACUUUUCACUUUCAUUGUAGCAGUAGACUAGGGAAAUAACUGUUCAUUAUCAAUGUUCAUAUCGUGCGAAUAAUCUCCUAUGCCUUUAUUUGUUUCAAGAUUGUGAGAAUGAUCCUUGUUUAUGUGUGACCUCUUAUUGCCUAUAAAAGACAAGAAUGAUGUAAUGUGUUGGGCAGAGUCCCUUGAAGUAAAGUGAGUAUUUUGUGUAAAACUCUCUAUGGCUUUAUAAACUUAUCUUCUUCUCCAGUCUGGUAGGAUCAUUUGAGAAAUGUAGUUCGGAUAGUUAGAAAUGUUACCAUCCUGGUUCUAUAUGAGUGUUUCUAGACUCUGAACUAAAGGGAAGAGUGGUUUUAUGUUAAAAGGCUGUCUCUGAAGGGCUUGAACGGAAGAGGUUCACCUACUGUGGGGUAUGCCAACUUUUGGCACUUGAAAUAAUCUUUUGCCGAAUUUCACGUUACUCUAAACACCGGAUAUGAUCAAACUUUUACUAUCAAAGUUUUAUCUAGCCCAUCAAAGGCAGUCUUAUGAGAUAGGAUGCAAUGAUAUAAUCUAUGAAUUAGAUCAAACAUUUAUUAAAAGUUUAAGAACGAUAUUUCAUUUUUUGAAUGUUAGGAUGCACGAGUAAGUUAUGUUAAAACAAUCCCACAAUAUAUUGAUAGCUUUGAAAUAAGGCUUUCUCUUGGUGAUGACGAAGAUCCAUAUGGAGAAAUUAAUGGGAGGGUUUGUUUGGCCUAACUAAAUGAGAGGCUAUAUCAGUGGGAGGUUUUUCAUUGUAACCUUGUGCUUGGUAUUUGUAUUUUAGUAAAGGAUUUUGUUAGCAUAAUAGUUUCUGAGUUAUUGUGAGAAUAACAACUUAUUAUGAGUUACAAAAUUUUCUCUUUCUUUUUUUCUUCACUUCCUUCUCCUUCCUCCAACCAAUCAUCACUAGUGAUUGGCAAGAGGCAAGGUUGGUGAGGUACCUCGCUGGUCUCGAGGAAGCUUGACCAUGGUUAGGCAACCUUGCUCAUGGCUAGGCGACCUCGCCUAGGCCGCCAACUGGGCUGGUGAGGGUUGACCCUCGACGGCCAUGGGUGAGGACAAAUGCCGCUAGUUGGGCUUGCGAGGCUCGCCCUUAUUGAAUUUGGCGAGAGUUGAGUCUCAUUGGCCAUGGGUAAGGUCAAAGGCCGUGACCUCACGUGGUCUUUGGUGAGGCUUGCCAAAGGUUGGGCAAGGCUCACCGUCGUUGGACUGAUGAGGGUCGAGUCUCGUCGGCCAUGGGUGAGAUUGCAACUUGCCCAUGGCCGGCGAGGUGAGCCUAGGCCAAAGGCAGGCGAGACCUUGCCUAACCAUGGCGAGGGUGGCCUCACCAUUGUUGGGUGAGGCUCACCCUUGCUAGUGGUGUGUGGGGGUAAGCCUUGCCAUUGGUUGGCGAGGCUAACCUUGCUGGCUUGAGUAAAAUAAAAUAUUAUUAAAAGAUUAUCUACAUCAAUAUUAGUUGGACGAGCGGUGUUGGUCGGCCAAAAUUUCUGAAUGAAUUGAAUAGUAUAAUUGCAAAAUGUUUGGGAUUGAAUUGGCUAAAAAAAAAGGUCUAAGUUUGAAUUGGAAAAAUUACAAUAAGUUUAUGAUUGUUUUGGUACGUCCUCCCUAUAUGGGAAGGAUCGUGACUAUGCUUCAAUUGAUGUAAGCAAGUGCAUCUUCACAGCCACUACCGCUCCCCUCCUACUCUUUGUAGCUUAUGCUACUCCCCUCUUAUAAAUCUCGGCUCGCCUGACGCCUUCGCCAUUGUGUAGGGAACGAGCGAGCUCGAGCUAGACCACAGUAAUGGCGGCAUCGACAAUGACGAUAAGGAGGAUCAAGUUGGGGUUGCAGGGCCUGCAGGUGUCGGUGCAAGGGCUGGGCUGCAUGGGCAUGUCCGCCUUUUACGGGCCACCCAAGUCGGAGCCCGACAUGAUCGCCCUCAUCCACCAUGUCGUCGGCUCUGGCGUCACCUUCCUUGACACCUCCGACAGCUACGACCCCCACACCAAUGAAAUCCUCCUUGGAAAGAUCGGUUCUCUCAGUCUCUGUUUUGCCUUCGCAUGAACUAUAUGUGCUUAUAAUGUUACGGAAUGUAGCUUCAUCGAGCAGAGUGCUUUGAUCCUGCGCCUUGGUUUUCUGAUUUCGGGGUUGAUUUUGAGCAGGCACUAACGGGAGGGGUGAGGCAAAAGGUGGAAUUGGCGACCAAGUUCGGAAUCAGCUUCGCGGAUGAGAAGAAAGAGGUCCAGGGCGAUCCGGCAUACGUGAGGGCGGCUUGCAAUGCCAGCUUGAAGCGACUUGACAUCGAUUGCAUCAACCUCUACUACCAGCACCGUAUCGACACUCGCGUCCCCAUUGAAGUCACUAUAUGGAUCCCUUAUCAAACUUUCACCUCGCUUGAGACUUUCUCCGAGCCAUAUGAUUAGUUGCUAAAUUAGAUUGGUGUUGAUGAUGCAUCGUCAUGUUGUUACAAGUUUGUUGAAUUUUGUUAAAUGACACUUAAGUUCAGCUGAUAGCAAAGCUCAAGAUGCGGCACGGUGUUGUUCAGGGGUUGUGGAAUUUAGUAGUUUAAUGGCUUGAGUUUUCGUUUUGUGGGCAUCCUUUACAAGUUAAGGGUCAACAAGCAUGAAAAUCAUUCGAAAUCUUCCUUACCUUUGAGAUGAAAGUGCUCCGGGGUUCAUCCUGAUUUUUUUUUUUUUUGGUGGUGAAAGUAAGUAAUUGUAUUAAGCUUUGCCAACUAUACAAGAUGAAAUCUUGGCACCAAAACUUGCACUCAGAAUGACAUGACGUCAAUGCGAGUGGAAGGAUGCUGAGAUGAAAAAUAGCAAGCAAUAAACGGUGUUGACACCUAAAUUUUGGCGAUCCGAUUAUUUAUUUAUUACAUAAAAAUUAUGGGUCAAUUUGUCUCUUAAAAAAUAUUAAUUACAUAUAGAUUUAGGUGCAUUUAUUUUUAAUUUAAUUUUUUUGUAUUUUAUUGGAUCGAUGGUGGAUGGAUUCAAAUUAAUGGUUAUGAAUUUUAAAUUGACAAAUCGAACUAAGUUCACGAAUAUAAGAAAUUGGCGCAAGCCCGUAUUUGAAAAAAUUCUAUUGUAAUUUUUGAAAAAUCAAUAGAAAACAUUCAUUUUUGCAAAGGAAAUCAAGAAGAGCUGUGGAAAAUAAAAAGUGAUAUUACGUGCGGAAAAGAAAUCUUUGCAGAUGUUGAUUUAAAAAGGAAAUUAAAAUCCUAAUUUUUGGUCUAUAAAAAAGUAACUUAGUAUAGGGUUUUGGGGAGGCUACACAUGGAAUACACAGCCAGUGGAGGGCGAAAUUCGAAAAAAUUUGGAGAGCAAACGCGAGGGGGCUUUUUCCUUCGGUUGAUUGGAGUUGAGAAUUCAAGAAAAAAGAAGAAGAAAGAAUUCGUUUGUUUGUGAAAAAAGGCAGCAAAAGUGUGCAGAAAAAAAGGAAGAGACAGAGACGGGACAGGGAAGAGUGAUGUGAGAGAGAGACGUGGAGUAGAAUAAAAAAGAAAAAAGAAAGUAAAAACAGGGAAGACUGUUCAUCCUCGCAAGCGCCUCAACCGCUGUCGCCGAUCCCUUUCGCCCGCACCGGCCCGCGACCUGCAGCCGCCGCGCUCCGUCGCCGCCUCACCCGAGCCGCCGACCACCACCGCUCGCUGCUCACACUACCGCUGUCCCGAUCUGCCCGCUCGAGCGUCCCUACGCCGGCAGAUCUGAGCUGCUCGCCACUCCACCGCCGCGCGAGUUCCCGCACCGGUCCGCGCCUCCUCUGCUGCUCGUGCCGUGCCACCACCAGGGUUCCUCUCGCUCGCGAGCUCGCACCGCCGCCCCGCUGUGCUGAUCCGCGACGACCCGACGCUCCGCUGCUGCUGCUGCUGCACCUUCGCAGGUCACCCCACCAGCACCACCGUUCGUCGCCCUGGCUGUAGGCGCGACGACUCGACACCGCCUCUGCUCAGUCACUCCUUCACCCGCUCCUGCUGCAGCACCAGUCGCUGCAACCUCCGCCGUCGCUCUUGCAUCCGACCCGACGCCAGCAGCAACGAUCCAGAUCCGGCGCCUGCUGCAGCCACAGCCCGACGCCGCUCCUCUGCCCGCGACCCAAGACCGGACGCCCAGGUCCGACGCCCUGCAGCUCCCUCUCUGAGUGACUCCCGCGACUUCCCUCACCGGAGCAACCCACCACGUUGCUGCUUCGCUUGAAAAAAAGAAAAAGAAAAAGAAAACAAAAAAAGAAAAAUCAAUUUAGGUAAUUUUUCCUUUUAUUUAUCUAUCUUAUUUUAUUAUUUUUGUUAUUUAACUUUAUUUGUUCUUUUUCAGUAUAAUUAUUCCUUAGUGUAAGGAUGAGAUGUUCGACAUGAAAUAGCCUGUGAAAUUUGUGAUUGUCAGUCCGAUUUUCACGCCUAAAAUCCGACUUGCAAUCACUUAAAAAAAAUCGCUAAUCCGAUCUUCCGCCUAAGAUUCAAUUCGCGAUUUAUGUGAAAUUGACCAACUCGAUUUCAUGCGCGAGAUAUAAUUCGUCAAUUUGGAUAUCAUCUUGCUCCGAUUUGUUGUCGUGUCAUUUAAUUAAAUUUGCUUUCAUAAAAAAAAAAUGUAGGUUAGAAUUAGGUUUAUUCCCUAUUUUAGGGUUUACAUAUUUAAAAUAUGAAUUUUAUUUCGAAUUUUUUUUUAAAAAAUAAUAAUAAAUUAAAAAAUCAAAAAUCAAAUCAAUUAAUUUAGGUUGCUAGUUUUUUUUUUUUUUUUUUAAAACUUGGAUUGCAUGUUUAAUUGUUUGGCAAUUAUUAAUUUCGAAAUUAAUAAAACAAAAACGCAACAAAAAAUCAUCAUGCAUAUGUCAUAUAGAAUUAGGGCAUCUUUUGUAUGUCAUUGCAUAUUAGGGUAAAAUUGCUAAUAUUUUUCUUAAUUUAUUAUAAGUUUAGGUAUUUUCUUAGAUAGAUUGCAUUUUAGGAUUGCUUGGGUUAGGAUAAUAUUCUAAUUUAAAUUAGGAUUUGGCUUAACCUAAUUCCUAAUACAAAUUGAAUAGAAUCUUAAUCUAGUUAGAUAAUUUUCACAUUUAAUCUAAUUUCGAAUUUCAUGAAAAAUACAAAAAAAAAGUCUUAGAAUAAAUUGGUUUUAUUCUCUAGGAUAAAUUGCAUUCUCUUUAAGGAAAAAAGAAGAAAAAUAUCAUGUGCAUGCCAUAUAAGAUUAGACUCAUGAGAUGCAUACCAUUUAGUGAUUGUUGCUAGUCCAUUUAAUUAGAAAUUGCAUAUCAUUAGAAUUAGGUCAUUUAGUUAUAUUGCAUUGCAUAUUAUAUGAUUUUCAUUAAAUAAGUGAAAAUAAAGAAAUUGCGUAUUGAUUAGAAAUUAUAUUUAAAACCGUCGAUGUGAAUUUUGAUAUAACAUUGUAGAUGCUUUCGUUGCUAUGAAAUGACUAUUACAAUUUAUUCAUUAUUUAUCUGGGUGUUAAAUUGGUGGUUUGCGCACUCAUAUGAUCACUUCAUAUGUUAAAAAAAUAGAUUUAAAAUCAAUCCAAAUUGCAUGUAAAAACAUUUUUGAAAAUAAAAAGAAGUGGUACCGAAAGGGUAUUAGAGAAUCUAGCAUAAUUAAGUCUCUGAACUCAUAAAUCUCUAAUUCGUAGGAGUGAAGUAAAUCUCCCGUUACUUUAUUUGAAGAUUAAUGGCGACUCCUAACUGAAAUAUCGUUUGUAUGUUAAGAACUUAAACCCAAGUUGCAAAUUGGUAUGGCUUGGGAGAGCUUGAGUUAGGUCUAGGCUUAACAAUUCAUUAGCCAAACCUUAGGUGAUACACACCUGAAAAUUUGGUCGCGACAAAUGGUAACAGCCACCACACAGCAAAGAAGAGCCAAACAACGGCCACCACUAGCAACCAAAGCAAAAAACAAAAGGCAACCGAGGGAUCAAACAGACGCAGCCAGAUCACCCCAAGCACCAAACCAAAAAGGGAAAGGCACAGUUCAAGCGUCCCAGUUGAGAGAAGCCGUGACCGACACGAACCAGGGGAGGAGGAAUCUUCAGUGAAACAGCCAACCCCAAGGACCUCGGCGGUAGCUCAGCACAAGAAUGUCCACCCUAGAAGGGUAUCCAGUUAGAAGGAGAUGGAUGAUGGAACAACCAUUCUCAAGGAUCGAACUCGCCGCUGAAAUAGCAGCUACAUGGAAAUCAGCUUCGUAGAUUUGAUCAAGAAUCACCUAAAGAGAAAACAAUCGGAUCAAUGCCCCAGGCACGCUGGAGUAUCCUGUUCCUCGCGGUACUAUCGACAUUUCUGAAAGUUAGAGCCUUAUCCCGGACAACCCUAAGGAGAUGGUUCUUCAGGGCCGGGAUCGUAGGAGUUAGCUCUCUAAACAAAAUAUCAUUCCUGUUCUUUCAUAUAAUGUGACAGAGGGCUCCAAGGGGUUCAUCCUGAAUUUAUAUACAGGAAUCACAGAUAAAGUUGUUCCUGGACUUUAUGCGGAGACAUUUGAUUCUUGACAUAUUGUGAAAUAUGACAAGUACUUGGAAUACUUCUUUUAUUUGCUCUCUUCUGUGAGAGAUUCAGGAAAUCUACCUCCGUUAACUCAAUACCUUGUGACUUUUUUGUUGCAUUGUGAUGCAUGAUAAUUGAGGGAUCUAGACACAUAAAAAGCUAAUGCCAUGCAUAAUUUUCUGGAUCUUAACAUGUAAGAUCUUUCGUCCAAAAAAAAAAAAAAACAUGUAAGAUCUUGAUUUUGUUGUUUUGUCAUGUGAAUAUGCAUAGAUCGGAGAGCUAAAGAAGCUCGUGGAAGAGGGUAAGAUAAAGUACAUCGGUUUAUCCGAGGCCUCUGCCUCAACAAUCAGAAGAGCACAUGCUGUUCAUCCCAUCACAGCGGUGCAAUUGGAGUGGUCGCUUUGGUCAAGAGAUGUGGAGGCAGAGAUCGUUCCAACGUGCAGGUAGGAUAUCACUCUGUUAAUUGUUUAUGCAGCAACAACAGCUUCCUUCUGACUCUGCUUUUCCUUUAAAAUGUUGACUAGGGAGCUUGGCAUUGGAAUUGUUGCCUACAGUCCUUUAGGACGAGGAUUCUUUUCUGUUGGCUCCAAGUUGGUGGAGAAUAUCUCUAAGGAUGACUUCAGACAGGUCUGUUCCUGCUUGUCAACAUAAUUAGAUGCCAGUAUCGGGCUUUGGCCCUCCGUCCUUUUUCAUUCUCAUCUUUCUUCACAAGAUAAACUAUAUCUUGACACAACCAUUUCUUGAGUAAGGACUCCUAGCACCCUUCUUAUGAGAGUUUUGGCUCAAGUUCCCAUCUGACAUAAAGCCAAUUGUGUAUUACUCCCCGCCAUUAGCGUUUGACUAGCGAUAGUGCUGGGCAAGUGAAGUAGCUAUUUUUUUUUUUUUGUAGCUAAAAGAGCUUUGCGUCUGAUAACGUUCUUCUACACAUCAUCUACAUUUCUGAUUUUUAUUUUAUGUGUGACUCAGGAAAAUGAUAAUUGCUCAUAUGCUCUCUGCUGAGACAUUGCUCUAUGUUAUGCAGUAUCUACCAAGGUUCCGGCCAGAGAACUUGGCUCACAACACGAAGUUAUUUGACCGAGUGAAUGGAAUUGCACAAAGAAAGGGAUGCACCACAUCGCAGUUAGCCCUCGCCUGGGUACACCACCAGGGUGAUGAUGUUUGCCUGAUUCCCGGCACGACCAAGAUCGAGAAUUUCAACUAGAACAUUGGAGCUCUGUCAGUGAAGCUUACACCGGAAGAGAUGGCCGAGCUUGAAUCGAUUGCUUCUGCAGACAGUGUCAAGGGUGGCAGGUACGAUGGAAGCAUGUCUACAUGGGAAAACUCCGACACUCCACCCCUUUCUUAAUAAAAUUAUGUGUUUUUCUAGUAAGGGAUGUUGCGAAAACUUUAUUGUCUUUUGCAUGCGUAAUUAUAACUAUGAGUGUAACUAUGCGUAAUUACAACAUGUGGCGUCACACAAUCCUCAGCACUUGAAUUGGGGUCUAUCAAGGUAGUGCUUGAGUCUAUGAUGCUCAAGCUCUAUUCAAUAGCACUUAGGCUCGGGUCCGCAAAGAUUGUGCAUCAGUCCUCAAUGCUUGAGGUCGGCUCGUUAGUUAAUAAAACGUUUGUUCUUAUAAAAAUAAUUAUUUUUAAAAAAUCUAUUUUUUUAUAUUAUUUGUUUUCUUUCUUUUUAUUUUCCUUCUUCUCGGCUAGUUGCCAACCAUGGCGCCGAUUGCGCCUGAUAACAAGCACCGGAUGAGCUAGCCCAAGGCCAAGAAGACUUGAGAUUGCUGAUUUGGCAAGCUUGAAGCUGGUCAAGUGCAAGCUCGAGUUUCGCCCCGUGGCUAGUCGCCAACUACCACCGUGGCUAGCGUUCGGUCGAGGAAGAAGAAAAAGAAAAAUAAGUAAAAAUCUGAAUAUUUUGUAAUCUUCUAUAGGGAAAUCAAAUAAGAUUUUUCAUAUUAAACGAUAAAAAAUAUUUUCUAGUUUAUUUUUAAGACUUAACCAAAUAUUGAAAAUGACUUUUUGUAAAAUAUUAUUCAAAUAUGUCAUAUUUUUUGCGAAACAAACGGUACAUAAAUUUAAAUUUGAUAAUUGUCCUUGUUAAUUUGGUACACAUUAUCUGUCUCUUUGUUUUGUUGCUGAACUGAUGCUAAUCUCUAGAUGAAGCUUGACUAGUUUCAAUAGGCGGCUUGACUUUUGCGCUUCCUUUUUUUUAAAACCCAAAACACUCAAAACUUUCGUGAUACACGACUUUCGACAUGCAGAGUUACAAUCACUUCAAAUAAUUUAUCUGAAAAUUGUAUAGUGGGCCAUCCGAGAAAGGUGAGGGCAACUUGUCCCCCUAGAAAUUGUCAUGACGUGGAACUCUUGACAUGAAUUGAAGUGACUUUUGUUAAGAGUUAACUAGUCAAGAUCGGGCCACAUCUGUCCAUUCAUGUCCGCCACAUCCGGCCCCUCCAAUCGGACUCCCCGGCGAAAAGAUUCACGGACACGUGGCUGGAUCUAGAAAGUCACGGGUUUGACUUGUCUUUUGUGUCACUAUCAAGAAUGUGCAUGGUCCGGACGGGCGAUUCCCGACCUAGAAUCGGGAACUGCUUGCUAAGGACCGAUUCCAAAACAUUGAAACGGAGAUCCACCAGUUAGUUGAAUGAAUCCACUUGGGAACCAGAUCGCUGAUUCAGUCCGAUUUCUAGGUGGAUCUAUGGAACCGAUCUUGACGCUAAAUAAUUUUAUUUUCAAUAUAGAACGACUACGUGAUUUCCAUAACAACAGCUGGAGAGGUUGUAGAAGGAUAUCAUGGUAGGCACUUACGAUAAUCGUGAGGAAAUGAUAGCAAUUUUGGUUAAACUUGUUUUCUAUCAUGGCUAUCAUGGGUCGAAUAAAAUUUUGCAAGCAAAUUUCGUGUCCUAGGCAUUUUUUUUCUCUUAGGUGUGAUGCUUUAAAAACCCUCUAUGUGAUGCUUAGGAACCUUUGUUUGUGAUGAAGCCUAAAGAUUUAUUCCUUGUUGUGGACUUGUUGUCCUACAUCAAAAUCUCUCAGUCAAACUUUUUUGCUUUGUUUUGGUAAGUCUGUAUAAGGUAUAUUACAGAAGUUGCAUUACGAGAUAUUUCUUCCUUAUUGUCUUUUUAGUUUAACUAAGGCCAAAUUGUUUUGGCAUUUUUCCAAGCAUUUCAUUAUGGAAUGAUGAUAAGAAGCGAUCUUGACUUAAUGCUUUUAGUUAUUUGAUUUGGAUUUAUUAAUUAGUAAUUUCAUUUUUUAAUAUUAAAAAUUAAUAUAUUAUUUUAAUAUAAUCGGUUCGGUCUAGGUGGGCGGGUAGAUAGAUCCGCUCAUGGAACUGGGAACCAGACUGGUACUCACCGGUUCCCAUAAAUUGGAAUCGAGAACCGGACCGGUUCCCUUAAAAACUACCGGUUCUGGGCGGUCCAAGCGGGUUUCGGUUAUUUUGCACAAAGAAUUAAAAAUUCAAUUUUUUUUAAAAAUAUUUUAAAAAGAAUUAUAAAAAUUUUCAUUAAAUUUGUAUUGCAUAAAAAUGUUUUAACAAUACUUUUUUUUAAAUAAAAAAAUCAUAAAAACGAGCUUUUUAAGGGUUAAUUAUUUUUUUUAUGUUAUUGUUUUUAGUUAUUCAAAGGUAUGUUUACUUCAAAUAAGGGAAGCAUGUGCAUAGUUUAAUUCUUUAUAAAUAUUUAAAUGUUUUUUUAAACUUUUCUUAUUUUAUUUUAUUUUCUAUUUUUAAUUUAAUUUGAAGAUUUAAUCUAAUUAGCAUAUAAUAGAAGUGGAUUUUCCUAAAAUAUUAAGAGGUUUUAGCAAUACGAGUUGGAUCGGGUAUGUGUCGGGUAUAUAUGAAUAUGGAUCAGAAUAAGUUAAAUAGAUCAAAUAUGAGUUCAUUCGUUUUCGACCGGACUCAAAUCCGGCUUGAUCCGGUUUCGACCCAACCCAAAUCCGACUCGAUCCACUCAUUUAACGGGUCUAGAUUGAAUUGACGUAAGCACGUGCGUCUUCGUAGCUACUGCCGCUCCCCUCCUAUAAAUCUCGGCUCGCCCGACAUCUUAGCCAUCGUCACGGUGCAGUGCAGGGAACGAGCGAGCUCGAGCUAGACGACGGCAAUGGCAGCGUCGACGACGACGGUGGGGAGGAUCAAGCUGGGGUCGCAGGGCAUGGAGGUGUCGGCGCAGGGGCUGGGCUGCAUGGGCAUGUCCAUCGGCUACGGCCCUCCCAAGCCCGACCCCGACAUGAUCGCCCUCAUCCACCACGCCGUCGGCUCCGGCGUCACCUUCCUCGACACCUCCGACAUCUACGGCCCCCACACCAACGAAAUCCUCCUCGGAAAGGUCGGUUCUCUCAGUCUCUCUUUUGCCUCCGCAUGAAUCAUACGUGCUUAUAGUGUUACGGAAUUCAGCUUCAUCGAGCAGGAUGCUCCGAUCCUGCGCCUUGGUUUUCUGAUUUCGGGGUUGAUUUUGAGCAGGCACUGAAGGGAGGGGUGAGGCAGAAGGUGGAAUUGGCGACCAAGUUCGGAGUCAGCUUCGCGGACGGGAAGAGGGAGAUCCGGGGCGAUCCGGCGUACGUGAGGGCUGCUUGCGAGGCCAGCUUGAGGCGGCUCCACAUCGAUUGCAUUGACCUCUACUACCAACAUCGCAUCGACACUCGCGUCCCCAUCGAAGUCACUGUAUGGAUCCCACAUCAAACCUUUACCUCUCUCGGGACUUUCUCCGAGUGAUCAGUUGCUAAAUUAGAAUGGUGUUGAUGAUGCAUCAUCAUCAAGAUAUCGUUAAAUGUGACUUGAGUUCAGAUGAUAGCAGAGUUCAAGAUGUGGCACGGUGUUGUUCAAGGGAUUGCGGAAUUUAGUAGUUUAUAUGGCUUGAGUUUUUGUUUUAUGGGUCAACAAGCAUGAAAAUUAUUCGAAAUCCAGGGUUCACCCUGAUUUAUAUCUGAGAAUCACAUUUGAAGUUGUUCCUGGACUUUCUGCGCAGACAUUUGGUUCUUGACUUGUCAUUGUGAAAUAUGACAAGUACUUGGAAUACUUCUUUAAUUUGCCUUCUUCUGUGAUAGAUUAGAGAGAUCCAUUUCCGUUAACGAUACCUUGCCAUUUUCUUGUUGCAUUGAGAUGCAUAAAGAUUGACUAUUUUUUGCUAGGAGCUACCUAAUCAAAUUGUAAUGUUUGAGAAGUCAGGGAACACAAACUAUUCAGGCAUCAGGACACAAGAAAAACUAAUGAUGUUCAAUAACUUCUGGAUCUUAACACGUAAGAUUUUGACGAUUGUUGUUUUGUCAUGUGAAUAUGCACAGGUUGGAGAGCUAAAGAAGCUCGUUGAAGAGGGUAAGAUAAAGUACAUCGGUUUAUCCGAGGCCUCUGCAUCAACAAUCAGAAGAGCACAUGCUGUUCAUCCCAUCACAGCAGUGCAAUUGGAGUGGUCGCUUUGGUCAAGAGAUGUGGAGGCAGAGAUCAUUCCCACGUGCAGGUAGGAUAUCACUGUUUAUUUGUUUAUGCAGUAACAACAUCUUUCUUCUGACUCUGCUCUUCCUUAAAAUGUUGACUAGGGAGCUUGGCAUUGGAAUUGUUGCCUACAGUCCUCUUGGACGAGGAUUCUUUUCUGUUGGCUCCAAGUUGGUGGAGAAUCUCUCUAAGGAUGACUUCAGACAGGUCUGUUUCUGCUGGUUAACAUAAUUAGAUGCUCACAGUUACUGUCAUUCCCAUUGAAGUGCUGGAAACCUGUUCUUAUUCUAUAAAGAAAAAGUUUGUGACACGAAUGCUUCAUAUUCUUAUUCGAUCCAGCACUUGCCAGUCAUCCCACCUCUCGUGAUUCUAGAUAAAUUUAAAAAUCACAAGUAAUGGCUUUAAUGAGCCUGAAAGGGGCAGUUUUCUGGAUUCUCGUGCUUUUGGGAAUGAACAAAUAUAGGUUUAUUUGUAAGUUGCUCCGUUUCCCAGCUUUCCCACCAUUUGCUUAUCACUAUCCUUUCCCCACUUUCCACCCGCCCUUUUUCUCUCAUAUCUCUUCACAAGAUUAGCAAUAUUUGCUCAAAAUAACCGAGACCAGUAUCGGGCCUUGGCCUCCGUCCUUUUUGUUUCUCAUCUUUCUUCACAAGAUAAAUUAUAUCUUGACACAACCAUUUCUUGAGCGAGGACUCCCUAACACCCUUCUUAUGAGAGUGUUGGGAUCAAGUUCCCAUCUGACAUAAAGCCAAUUGUGUAUUACUCCUGGCCAUUAGUGUUUGAGUAGCGAUAGUGCUGGGCAAGUGAAGUAGCUAUUUUUCUUUGUAGCUAAAUGAGCUUUGCGUCUGAUAACAUUCUUCUACACGUCAUCUACCUUUUGUGAUUUUUUUUUCUUAUGUGUGACUAAUGUUACCAUCACACGUACAAAACUUAGAUUGUCUAGUUUGUUUCUGUUUUCACUUCCUACAUCAAACCCAUCAGCCUUGUGUGGUAGUUGCUAGAUCACUUCGCUCGACGUUUCUAGUUCUUAUGAUUUGGGGCUAGGUAUUUUAAUCAUUUCAAGAUAAUCAUAACUGAUCAUGCUUUUCCAGGUACACAACAAUUGUGCACUUCUAAAUGCUUAUUAGGUCAAGUAACAAGGCAAUCUGUUGGCAUGCAAUGCGAUCACUUUUGCACCUUGCUGCUGUAGAAUUUGGCCUUAAAAGGAAAAUGAUAGUUGCUCAUAUGCUUUCUGCUGAGACAUUGCUCUAUGUUAUGCAGAACCAACCAAGGUUCCAGCCAGAGAACUUGGCUCACAACAUGAAGUUAUUUGACCGAGUGAAUGAAAUUGCGCAAAGAAAGGGAUGCACCACAUCGCAGUUAGCCCUUGCCUGGGUACACUACCAGGGUGAUGAUGUUUGCCCGAUUCCCGGCACGACCAAGAUCGAGAAUUUCAACCAGAACAUUGGAGCUCUGUCAGUGAAGCUUACACCGGAAGAGAUGGCUGAGCUCGAAUCAAUUGCUUCUGCAGACAAUGUCAAGGGUGGCAGGUACAAUGGAAACCUCUCUCCAUGGGAAAACUCCGACACUCCACCCCUUUCUUCUUGGAAACCUGCCUAGAAACAUGUCUACUUCUGUUGCUGCGUCUUUGAUAUGCAGAGUUUGUGCAUUUGCCGCUGAAGUAAUUUGAGGCUAUGUUGUGUGGCUGUUAUAAGUACGUGUAAUAAGAGAGUGACUGUUUUCGUUUUGUACAUGUGACAUUCACUAUGAGAAGAUUAUGGAUAUGUUCUAAGCUUACUGGGGAAAGAUCACCCGCUAACACGAGAGCAAGUUUUUUAUGAACCGAGCUUGCCGUGCCGACUUUAUCGGGGUGACUUUUAGAAUAUGAGAAAUUGGGAUUUUGAAGAAUUCAAACUCAGUCAUACAUACUAGAGUGAUGCUUUAUUCUCCUCCAACUAGUCUUGGUCCAGUUUCCAGAGAGAUUAGGUCGAUCCUUGGUCCUAGAAUUUCAGGACUAGCACUGUGCGGGUCGAUUCUUAGUCCUAAGAGUUCUAGGUCGGUCCAAUCCAAACCAACCUUAUAUAUAUAUAUAUAUAUUAUUUAUAAUUUUUUUAUAUAGAGAAAACCUUAAAACAAACGGCGUCAAUAACAUUAAAGAGUUAUUUAGUAAAGAGUUCAAGUAAUUUUACAUUGUUCUUUAAUAUUUUAGAUUUUUAAUGUCUUUUACGAUAUUAAUAGUCAUAAUUUACGAAGGAGGAAAUUGUUUUUGUAAGGAGUCCUCAUGAUAUCUAAAAAGGUAUAAAUGGCAUCAUUCUUUAGUAUUCGUUCUCUUUGGUUUUAUUCGUUCUCUUAAUUAUCAAUUUGCCAAAAUUGAAAGAAGCAAUCGCUCACUUUGGGUCACUCCUGCCGCUCGCCGCUUAAUGCUCGCUUGGCUUGUUGCUCCAUGCUCGAUAUUCGAUAUUUAUUCUGUUCGACGCUCACCCCACUUGACUCUCGUUGCUUGCCUUUUUUAGUUGACCUUGCUCAUCAUCGAAUCCAUUAGGUCAAUAUGGUCCUCAGUUGCUUUUUCAAGGAUUACAAAAAAUGAAAUAAAAAAUUAUUAAUUAGUCCUAAGUUGACCUUGAAACCAGACCGAACCCAUUGGGUCCGUUUGAUCUUCAAUCGCUUUUUUAAGGUGUACAAAAAAUGAAAUAAAAAAUUAUUGGUUGGUCCCGGGUUGACCCUAGAACUGGACCGAACCCAUUGGAUCAGUUCGGUCAUUGGUCCUAAGCUUAAUAGGGUUGGUUCUCGGUCCAAAAAACUGAGGACCAGCAUUGUGUGAGUUGGUCAUAGGGUUAGGGGGUGAACCGGCCCAACCUGGACCAUACUCACUCCUACCUCUAACCAUGAGUUCAAUACUAGCACCAUGUGCAACAUACUCUUAGGACUGGAUGCUACACAUAGAUACAACGCUUCGCUUUGUGUUUGGUUUCGUAGCGAAGUAAAGGAACAGUAAAAUGCUAUUGGAUGUUCUCGCGAAAAUGAAGUUUGGGAUAAAAUGUUGGCGCGGUUGAUAUGAGUGUCGAGGAAAUCGAAGGUUUCUUGUUCAAGUUUAACCACCUACGGUUCAUGAGCUUUUAUGUAGCUCAAUACCUUCGCUCAUGCCUCUGCAUUAUUAUAAAACAGUCGGAGAUAUUGCGCAAGUUUCCUAAAAUUAAAAACAACAAUUCUAUUGUUUUUUAUUUGGAGUUAGAGUGGAGCAAUGUCGUUUUGUUUUGAUUUAGGAAAAUAACGCAAAUAGUCAUUGAACUUUGGUCCAAUGUGUUAUGUUCUUAUUGAACUUUUAAUUUAUUUAGUAUGACUGUCGAACUUUUUAUACAUGUUUAAUUUAGAUCCUAGGCUAGAUAAAUCCAACGAUGCUGUGUUUGGUCGUUCGAACAUCUUUGCUGUAUGGGAUAAUGAAUGGAUGAAAAUCCCAUCUAAUAUUUCUUGACGUCUGGAUAUAGCAUGAUUCAAAAUAAAUCUUUUUUUUUUUAAAUGAGUGUUUGAUUUGUAUAAUUAAAAUUAAAAAUAAACCAUGGAAGUCGUGAAUAGUAUUCAUCCUUUCACAAUCUUCAUCGAUAUUAAACACCCCCGUUCCAUGUGACUUCAAGGACGCUCUCUCCUUCUGCAACGCCCCUUUCGCUGCCCUUGAUCAACUUGAUGGAUUACGCUCGCUCUACCUUUGACUUCGCCACAUUGAGAGGCCCUUGGGUUUGAGUUCUCCGCUGGUCUAGCCAUCUUUACUUCGAAUGCCUUUUCCUGCGAUGAAUCCAUCCCCUUCGACGAGUGCGAAUACUGCGUUGAUUCCCUGUUACCGUGCCCCGACUUGUUCAGUCGCUUCAACAGCUUCCCCCGAGACAGCGUGCGGAUCCGGUUUAUGAGUGGUAGCACCAUCGGUGCUACUCGCUCCGAGUGACGUGGUUGAAGAGCUCUAUCACCUUGGCUGCCGCCUCUUUCGGAUCAUCUUCUUCACAGAGAAGAUGUCCAGCUUUGAUCGGGAUCACAAAGUUCCCUACUAAAAUGGAGUUAAGUGACAUAAGAAAGAGGCAGGGCUGACGAGCUCCGACGCCACUUUUCCGAGGCAGCCAAAGGUGGUAAGCAGCUUGUCACUGGUAGGAGGAACGGUGGCCCUUAGACUUUGCUCAGGUCGUUGUGGCGAGGGCUUCUCUAGGUAUCUUCGCGAUACUCAUGCUCUAAGUUUGUGGUGGUCAUUUUAGUGAGAGAAAUUGAAACAAGAGAGAUGAUGCGGCACCGGUCAAAAGUGAGGAUAAGCCAUCAACAAGCGCAGGAGUGGGGGAAAAACUUGUAUCCCUUAUUUUUUUCAAUUUUCCAAAUUUCACAUAUCCUAUUUGGAUCUAUAUCACUUUCUAGAUGAGAUUUUUUAUCCGGACUAUAUCCAAAUUUCACGUUACUCUAAACACCGGAUAUGAUCAAACUUAUCAUAUCAGAGUUUUAUUCGGCCCAUCAAAGACAGACUUAUGAGAUAGAAUGCAAUGAUAUAAUCUAUGAAUUAGAUUAAACAUUUAUUAAAAGUUUAAGAAUAAUAUUUCACAUUUUGAUUGUUAGGAUGCACGAGUGAGUUAUGUUAAAACAAUCCCACAAUAUAUUGAUAGCUUUGUAAUAAGGCUUUCUCUUGGUGAUGACAUAGAUCCAUAUGGAGAAAUUAAUGGGAGGGUUUAUUUGGCCUAACUAAAUGGGAGGCUAUAUCAAUCGGAGCUUUUUCAUUGUAACAUUCCCUUGUGCUUGGUAUUUGUAUUUUAGUAAAAGGAUUUUGCUAGCAUAAUAAUCUUUGGGUUAUCAUGAGAAUAACAAUUUAUUAUGAUUUACAAAAUUUUAAAAUAGUAAACCUCAAUUCAAUUUUAAACUUUUUUUUUUCUAACUAAUUCAAUCCUAAAUAUUUUGCAUUUGUGACAAUUUAGUCUAUUCGGCCAUUUUUCGCCAAGAGGCAUUGAUGUGAACUUUGGCUGAUCGACCAAUGCUGACAUGGACAAUUUUUUUAAUAAUAUUUUAUUUUUCUUAUUUUUUAUUAAUUUUUUCUUUCUUUUUUUCUUCACUUCCUUCUCCUUCCUCCAGCCAGUCGGCAAGAGGCAAGGUUGGUGAGGGACCUUGCUGGCCUUGAGGAAGCUUGGCCAUGGUUGGGCAACCUUGCUCGUGGCUAGGCGACCUCGCCGAGGCCGCCGAUUGGGCUGGCGAGGGUUGACCCUCGUUGGCCAUAGGUCAGGACAAAGGCUGCUAGUUGGGCUUGCCCUUAUUGAAUCUGGUGAGGGUUGAGUCUCAUUGGCCAUGGGCAAGGUCAAAGGCCGCGACCUCUCGUGGUCUCUGGCGAGGCUUGCCAAAGGUUGAGCAAGGCUUACCCUCAUUGGACUGACGAGGGUUGAGCCUCGUCAGCCAAGAGCGAGAUCGUAACUUGCCCAUGGCCGGUGAGGCUCGCCUAGGCCAAAGACAGGCGGGGCCUUGCCUAACCAUGGCAAGGGUGGCCUCACCAUUGUUGGGUGAGGCUAGCCCUUGCCAGUGGCGUGUGGGGGUAAGCCUUGCCAUUGGUUGGCAAGGCUGACUUCACUGGCUUGAAUAAAAUAAAAUAUUAUUAAAAGAUUAUUCACAUCAAUAUUAGCCGAACGAGUGGUGCUCGUCGGCCAAAAUUGGCCGGAUGAAUUGAAUUAGUAUAAUUGCAAAAUGUUUAGGACUGAAUUGGCUAGAAAAAAAAAAGAUUUUAAGACUAAAUUAGAAAAAUUGCAAUAAGUUUAUGAUUGUUUUGGUAAUUUUUUCGUAUAAUAACCCUAGUAAAGAUGACUCACUUAAUUUGAGCGUCAAUAAAUCAAAGGUCACUUGUUUAGUUCUCACAACUUAUUUGUAAAUCACUUUAGAAGUGCAAAUCCAAUCAAUUUAUGAGCUUGCAAAAUGAGUCUCUAGAUAAACCAACUUUUGUAUUCGUGCUUCAGGAUUAUAAUAAAAUAUUAGAGGUUUUCAUCAGUGUAUCAUGAUAGGCUAGAUAGGGCGUUUUCUUUUGCACUUGUCAUACAUGAUCAUUUUGUAUCCUUUGAACUCAUGUUAUUUGUUGGUACUAGGUUGAGUGGUAAUAUGAUCUCCUACCUUAUACUUAGAUAUUUCAUUUAUUAGGCUUCGCCUCACUCCUUUUUUUCUUUUUUUUUCUUUUUUGUUGUAGGAUGAUUCCCCUAAAGAUGGUGACGGAGGGGCCGAGUUGAUAUCGGAAGCCAUUAAUCCUUGAGUUGGAUGGUAGUUUAGUUAGUAUGGAUGUAAUGGUAUUAGGUGACCCCGAUCUUUCCUAGGACUAUAAAAUUUUUUGUGAUAAUUACUAUCGAUAUUGUAUAAAGCCAAAGACACUUUUUUUUUUAAUAAACUCAUGCAUUUUUCUAGUAAAGGAUGUUGUGAAAACUUUAUUGUCUUUUCCAUGCGUAAUUAUAACUAUGAGUAUAAAUGGAAAUGACAUGUGCCGCAUGUGAUGUUCCAAGGCGUCACAUAAUCCCCAACACUCAAAUUAGGGUCCAUUAAGGCAGUGCUUAAAACUAUGAUGCUCAAGUUCUAUUCGGCAGCACUUAGGCUCGGGUCCAACAAGAUCGUGUGUCAGUCCUCAAUGCUCGGGCUCGGCUCGUUAGUUAAUAAAAUGUUGUUCUUAUAAAAAUAAUUCUUUUUAUUUUCAUUUUAUAUUCAUUUGUUUUCUUUCUUUUUCUUUCUCCUUCUUCUUGGCUGGUUGCCGACCAUGAUGACGAUUGCGCCUGAGAACAAGCGAGAGAUGAGCUAGCCCAAGGCCAAGAAGACUUGAGAUUGCUGAUUUGGCAAGCUUGAAGUUGGUUGAUCAAGUGACGCUAAAGCUCCCUAGCGUUGGGCAACCUCGAGUUUCACCUCAUGGCUAGUCGCCAACUACCACCGUGGCGAGCGAUCGGUUGAGGAAGAAGAAAAAUAAAAAUAAAAUUAAAAGAGAAAAUAACUAAAAAUCUGAAUAUUUUGGCAUUUUCUAUAGGGAAAUCAAAUCGAAAAAAUAUUUUCUAGUUUAUCUUUAGGACUUAACCAAAUAUUGGAAAUAUUAUUCAGAUAUGUCAUAUUUUUUGCGAAACAAACGGUGCGUAAAUAUUUAGAUUUGAUAAUUGUCCAUGUUAAUUAGGUACACAUUAUCUCACUCUUUGUUUCGUUGCCGAACUGAUGCUAAUCUCUAGACGAAGCUUGACUAGUCUCAACUCAAUAGGCGGCUUGACUUUUGCGCUUCCUUUUCUUCUUUUCUUUUUUCUUUUUAACUCAAAACACUCAAAACUUUCCUGGUACACGACUGUCGUCGUGUUACAAUCACUUUCAAUAAUGAUGGCCAUCCGAGCAAGAUGAGGGCGACUGGUCCCCCUAGAAAUUGUCAUGACGUUUGACUUUCAUGAAUUGAAAUGACUUUUCUCUGUCAAGGAGAAAAAUAGUUAACUAGUCAAGAUCGUGCCACAUCUCUCCAUCCAUGUCCUCCACAUCCGGCCCCACCAAUCGGACUCCCCGACAAAAAAAAUCGAGGACACGUGGCUGGAUCUAGAAAGUCACAGGUUCGACUUGUCUACUGUUAUCACUGUCCUUUUGCAAUAAUUUUUUUACACCCGUCUAGCUGUUGUGAGCUCCUCUGACAUACUAAUUGUGUGGAUAUGGUGAACUUGGGACCUUCUAUAAUCUGUCCAUAUUAAAAAUUUAAAAUGGACAAAUUCCGCCUCUCAUUGUGGAAUUCCACCCACAUUUCUCGCAAACUUUCAAACAUUAGUUCCAGGUCGUGCAUUCCAAUUGAGCCUUGUCUGGUCAAAUAUCAAAGUACUCUAGAGAAAAAUUUUAAAAAAAAUUGUAAAAAAGAGAGAGAAGGAAAACGAUUCAGCCUUAUAAUAACUUGCUAGGAACCACGUAGUUAAUUAGAGCAUCAAGAAAUUAGAGGUAGCUUGUGUAGUUCUCGCAAGUUACUUGUAAAUUGCUUUAGAAGUACAAACUUAAUUGAUUUAUGAGCUUGCACCAUAUUUUAUGAGUUUCUGAAUAACCAACUUUUGUAUUCAUGCAACUCACUCCGCUGUGACUGAGUUGGUUCGGACGUUCCCUCCUCUUCCAAUUGGGGGGAGGUUUGAGUCACCACGAUUGCAUUUGCGCAACUUAAGUGCGGCGCCAUGAGAGGUGGGUCCCCGUGCUAGCGUCACCGUGGGUUUACGUCGCCAGCUGCCGGUUGUACGGCGAUUCUCAAGUCAUAAAAAAAAAAGAAAAAAGAAAAUUUGUAUUCAUGCUUGUAGAUUAUAAUAAAAUAAUUGGUUGUGGUGGGCAAUUGAGAGUGACACCGUUUUCGCCUUUUAUUUUUUGUAAUAUGUGAAGUGUUGUUCUGUUUUUUGUUUUCGUCACCCUCCCACUUGUGCUAUAUUUGUUAGGUCUCCUCGCCAGGAGUUCGUCACUUUAUGUUAUUGACCUCUUAAUUAAAUACAACAAUACCUUCAAGGACUGCUCUUCAUAAAGGCGCGGAUUGGACGGCCGGUGACCGAGAUAGCAGCCUCCGCCCCUCCCUCGGUCUUGCCCUUUGCAUAACUUUUAGAAAACAUGCGUGAUUAGAGGAUCAAUAGUGACUUAAUUCUAACCCGUAUCGAUGUUACCCGUUUAGCAUCUCUUAGUAAAUGUAAAUAUUGUACGCGGAUGACAGCAUUUUGAAGAAUUUACAAUUGGUGUUCUUUUAUUAAAUAUGGUUGAUAUCAUGAAAAAUCUUAGAUUGAUACAUUUGCGACAAACUUAUCCCAAACUAUUUUUUUUACACAAAAACCGUAAACUAGUAUAUUUGUAAUUUUACCUAAAACUAUUUUUUUUUAUCGUCAAAAACCUCAAACUGAUAUAUUUGUAGCAAAAUUACUCUUUACUAACUAGUGUUAAAUUAUACUAAUAUGAAUUGGUACAUCUAUGACAAACGAAGGGUAAAAUCCUAAAUUGGUACACUCAUUAACUAUCAUAUGUCAUUUAACUCAGUAAUUUAAUAGUACAAUUUAAGGGAAAUUAACGGAGGGUCAAUUUGUCAUAGGUGUAUCGGUAUGAGAUUUUUGAUAGCAAAUGUAGGAGUUUUACAUGGUAUUAAACUCUAUUGCAUAUGAUCAAAAGUCCUAGUUUCUACUAUUUUUGUCGACACAAUACCUUAAAAAACCUCAAACUUAAGCUCUGAUCCUAAUUCUAUCUUUUGUGUUAUAAGACCUCCAACUUUAGAUCAUGUCCCAAUUCCACCCUAACAUACAUAUUUUAGAAAACCCCAUAUUUUAGUUAUAGUCCCAAUCUUAUCUAAACAUCUGUUAUCUCAUAAAAUCCCUCAAAUUUAGGUCAAGUACCAAUUCCAACCUAAACGUUAUUUUGUCUUAUAAAAAGAAUCCUAGCUUUAGGUCCAAUUUCAUUUUCACUUUUUUUUUUUAUCUCAUAAAAGAUUACCAACUUUUACUUGAGUCCCAAAUCCACUCUCCAUUAACCCUCCAUCAAAAUUGCCCUUAGUGAUUUUGUGCUCGGUUUUUGAUCUCGCGUGCUUGGAAAUAUUUCAUUUCUCUUGAACAACUUGUGCUUGAGGGUUUUCCAUCUCUCGAUGUCAGCAGGAAAUUUUGCACGAAGGGUUAAUGGUGGCAAAUAUGCGACUCAAGUAAAAAUUUAUAGUUUUUUCAUCAGACUAUAAAAAUUUUACGGUAAUAUUGAGAGUGGAUAGGCUUUUCAUAAGACAAGAAAAGGUUUAAGGUAGAAUUAGUAUAUUAUUUAAAAUUGAAUUGUGAAUGGCUAUAAAAUUAGUGAUUUUUUUUAUGAGAUAAAAGGUAAAAUUAGGAGAAAAGCUAAAGUUAGAGAGUUUUUUUUAGGGUAUCAAACCUAUUUUUGUCAAUCAUAUGAUGUCAACAUUAUCUUUGUUUUUGUUUUUCUUUCAAUUGUCCAUUUGGUCGGUUCUUUUCUAUUCUUAUUCUCAAACUUUUGCCUUGACUCAUUACAAGUGUGAGAAUUGAAACCACAUUUGAUACUAUAUUGUCCCCCGGUAGGCAUUCAAAACCCCCAUCUCCCGCUUCUCAUGUAAGUUAUGAAUGGAGCCUUCGUGUCGUGUCCGACACGCUCGAAGAUGCGGUCAAUACGUGUUCGAAAUCCGACACGUGAACAAUUCUUAUUGACACAUUCUAACACACAAGUCCGAGAGAGAGGAUCGUUGAAGAAAACAAUGGCAAGGGAGCGAAGGCAACGGCAAGGCCACGACGGUGAGAGAGGGCUAGAGGAAGAGUAGAGACCGAGAUGACCUAAAGAGAGGAUCGUGACUGCAAUGGAGGGCCGGUGGCGAGACUGCACCUAUGUAGGAGGAAGGGUUGGAGGUGAGGCGGCAAGCGAUUAUGACAAGGCAAUCAAGAGAGAGAAGAGAUUGAGAGGUGGAUGGUCGUGCGAGGAGGAGGGGAAGGCCAGGGCUAGGGUUUUUGAAGGGGGAAAAUCAAAAAAUUAAAAACAUGAUUUUGAUGGGACAUUAGGGUUGUGCAAGGAGGAGGGGAAGGCCAGGGCUAGGGUUUUUGAAGGGGAAAACUCAAAAAAAUUAAAAACAUGAUUUUGAUGGGACAUUGCUGUGAUUUCUCCUUUAUGGAGAGGGGGAGCGUGUCGGGAGGUGGAGGGGGAGGGCAGAUAAAUGAGGGAAAGAUGAGUGAAAUAAGUUUGUUGGGGGCACAAAAGGAGGGGUUGGUAGGACCUGAGCAAGUCCUUAGACUGCUCCGUCUGGUCGGAAAUAGCCCACGGACGUAAAAUGUGGGCAAUGUUAAUCGUGGGAGAUCAGACCACCCUGUGUAAGGAUCUCCUGGCUCAGAUUCCCGCGAUGCCUUUCUCCUAACAUAUUAGGCUGGGUACAGGAAAAUGAUGAGUGAAAUAAGUUUGUUGGGGGGGGGGGGCACAAAAGGAGGGGUUGGUAAGGGUUGGCAUGGACCCCAUGGAUUUUUAUUUUUUUUUAAUCAAAAAAAUAAAUAAGGAAGGCCAGAAAGUGGGGGAAGAAACUAUGGAAAGAGAGUGAAGUAAAUGUGGGGGUGAGGGUUGGGGUGGACCACGGGGGUCUUUUCUUAUCAGAAAAAUAAAUAAGAAAAACUAUAAGGUGAUUUCGGAAAAUGAAAGUGUUGAAUGUUGAAUAAUAAUAAAAUUUGAUAAUUGUAAAAGAUUAUAGAUUUAUUUAAAUAAGUUAAUUCUAAUUUUUCUUAAUCAUUAGUUUUAUCAAUAAUUUUUGUUAGAGUUAGAAAUAUGUUCGUAUGGAUGCUAUAUGGCAUAUGGAAAGGGUGGCCUCACUUCUGGCGUUUCAUGUAUGGAAAGAGUGAUUAUUAAUGGCGCAUUUGGUAACGUUUUUGUUUCGGAGGACAAUUUUUGAAUAGAAAUAGUUUUUUUUUUUGUUCUAGGGAAUAAUUUUUGAGUAUAAGAAUGUGUUUGGUAACUGCAAACAAUUUCUACUCUAAAAAUAGAAACGCGCUUGGUAAACUUGUAUAAUUUCUUUGUUUCUUUUAAUUUUUUAAUAUUUUUAAUAUUUUUUUUCUUUUUUUCUUUUUUCUUUUUCUCUUUGGUCGGUUGCUGGCUAUGGCGAUGUCCGUUGAGCCUUGUCCAGGCAACGCGAGGUUCGCCUCGUGCCGAUUGGGGAGGUCAAGGCCUCUUGGCUUUGUCUGGGCUAAGCGAGGUUGACCUUGCCCAGCCACCGGCGAGACUCGGCCUCGCUGGGCCACCGCUAGGCGACUCUGUCCUGGAGGUGGCUCGGCGAGGUCGAGCCUCAUGCGGCCAUGGCGAGGCUCGGCCUCUCUGGGGGCUAGCGACACUCCGGCGAGGUCGUCGGCUCUCGUCUAGCCAGUUGCCGGUGUCAACUAUGGCUAAGGCUGAUGACNNNNNNNNNNNNNNNNNNNNNNNNNNNNNNNNNNNNNNNNNNNNNNNNNNNNNNNNNNNNNNNNNNNNNNNNNNNNNNNNNNNNNNNNNNNNNNNNNNNNCGUCUGGUCGAAAACAGCCCAUGGACGUAAAAUGUGGGCAAUGUUAAUCGCGGGAGAUCGGACCACCCUGUGUAAGGAUCUCUCGGUUCAGAUUCCCGCGAUGCCCUUCUCCUAACGUAUUAGACUGGGUACAGGAAAAUGACGAGUGAAAUAAGUUUGCUGGGGGCACAAAAGGAGGGGUUGGUAAGGGUUGGCAUGGACCCCAUGGACUUUUAUUUUUUUAUCAGAAAAAUAAAUAAGGAAGGCUAGAAAGUGGGGGAAGAAACUAUGGAAAGAGAGUGAAGUAAAUGUGGGGGUGAGGGUUGGGGUGGACCACGGGGGUCUUUUCUUAUCAGAAAAAUAAAUAAGAAAAACUAUAAGGUGAUUUCGGAAAAUGAAAGUGUUGAAUGUUGAAUAAUAAUAAAAUUUGAUAAUUGUAAAAGAUUAUAGAUUUAUUUAAAUAAGUUAAUUCUAAUUUUUCUUAAUCAUUAGUUUUAUCAAUAAUUUUUGUUAGAGUUAGAAAUAUGUUCGUAUGGAUGCUAUAUGGCAUAUGGAAAGGGUGGCCUCACUUCUGGCGUUUCAUGUAUGGAAAGAGUGAUUAUUAAUGGCGCAUUUGGUAACGUUUUUGUUUCGGAGGACAAUUUUUGAAUAGAAAUAGUUUUUUUUUUUGUUCUAGGGAAUAAUUUUUGAGUAUAAGAAUGUGUUUGGUAACUGCAAACAAUUUCUACUCUAAAAAUAGAAACGCGCUUGGUAAACUUGUAUAAUUUCUUUGUUUCUUUUAAUUUUUUAAUAUUUUUAAUAUUUUUUUUCUUUUUUUCUUUUUUCUUUUUCUCUUUGGUCGGUUGCUGGCUAUGGCGAUGUCCGUUGAGCCUUGUCCAGGCAACGCGAGGUUCGCCUCGUGCCGAUUGGGGAGGUCAAGGCCUCUUGGCUUUGUCUGGGCUAAGCGAGGUUGACCUUGCCCAGCCACCGGCGAGACUCGGCCUCGCUGGGCCACCGCUAGGCGACUCUGUCCUGGAGGUGGCUCGGCGAGGUCGAGCCUCAUGCGGCCAUGGCGAGGCUCGGCCUCUCUGGGGGCUAGCGACACUCCGGCGAGGUCGUCGGCUCUCGUCUAGCCAGUUGCCGGUGUCAACUAUGGCUAAGGCUGAUGACUGGCAAAAGGAAGAAGAAGAAGAAGAAGAAGAAGAAAAGAAAGAGAAAAUAGAAGAAGAAAAAUGAUAAGAAAAAAAAGUGUUUUUCGAAAGUGUUCUCGAGAAUAAGAAAUAAGUUUUUUUUUUUAAUUUCUUAUUUUUGUUCCAAAGUUGCUCUCACAAUAAAAAAAAAAGACCAGAAUAAAAGUAUAAACAAAUGAGUUUCUAUUCUUUUUUGGUUCUCUGGAACAAAAUAAUAAAAAUUUAUAUUCCAGGAAAAAAAAAUAAUUUUAAACGAACACACCCUAAGAUAUCUUUUGUAUUCCGGGGAAGUAGUUCAAUUGACGUGAGCCCGUGCGUCUUCCCUACAUGGGAAGGGUCGUCACUGGGUCUCAUCUGACCUAAGCAAGUGCGUCUUCACAGCUUUUACCGCUCCCCUCCUACACUUCGUAGCUACCGCCACUCCCCUCCUAUAAAUCUCGGCUCGCCCGACGCCUUCGCCAUCGUCUCGGUGCAGUGCAGGGAACGAGCGAGCUCGAGCUAGACGACGGCAAUGGCGGCUUCGACGACGACGGUGAGGAGGAUCAAGCUGGGGUCGCAGGGCCUCGAGGUGUCGGUGCAGGGGCUGGGCUGCAUGGGCAUGUCCGCCUUCUACGGCCCUCCCAAGUCCGACACCGACAUGAUCGCCCUGAUCCACCACGCCGUUGGCUCCGGCGUCACCUUCCUCGACACCUCCGACAUCUACGGCCCCCACACCAACGAAACCCUCCUCGGAAAGGUCGGUUCUCUCUCAGUCUCUGUUUUGCCUCCGCAUGAAUUAUAUGUGCUUAUAGUGUUACGGAAUUUAGCUUCAUCGAGCAGAGUGCUCUGAUCCUGCGCCUUGGUUUUCUGAUUUCGGGGUUGAUUUUGAGCAGGCACUGAAGGGAGGGGUGAGGCAGAAGGUGGAAUUGGCGACCAAGUUCGGAAUCAGCUUCGCGGACGGGAAGAGGGAGGUCCGGGGCGAUCCGGCGUACGUGAGGGCGGCUUGCGAGGCCAGCUUGAAGCGGCUUGACAUCGAUUGCAUCGACCUCUACUACCAACAUCGCAUCGACACUCGCGUCCCCAUCGAAGUCACUGUAUGGAUCCCCCAUCAAACUUUCACCUCGCUUGAGACUUUCUCCGAGCCAUAUGAUUAGUUGCUAAGUUAGAUUGGUGUUGAUGAUGCAUCGUCAUGUUGUUACAAGUUUGUUGAAAUUUGUUAAAUGACACUUAAGUUCGGCUGAUAGCAGAGUUCAAGAUGCGGCACGUUGUUGUUCAAGGGGUUGUGGAAUUUAGUAGUUUAGUGGCUUGAGUUUUCGUUUUGUGGGCAUCUUUUACAAGUUAAGGGUCAACAAGCAUGAAAAUUAUUCAAAAUCUUCCUUUGAGAUGAAAGUGCUCCAGGGUUCAUCCAGAAUUUAUAUACGGGAAUCACAUAUAAAGUUGUUCCUGGACUUUAUGUGGAGACAUUUGAUUCUUGACAUAUUGUGAAAUAUGACAAGUACUUGGAAUACUUCUUUUAUUUGCUCUCUUCUGUGAGAGAUUCAAGAAAUCAACCUCCGUUAACUCAAUACCUUGUGACUUUUUUGUCGCAUUGAGAUGCAUGAUAAUAGAGGGAUCUAGACGCAUAAAAAGCUAAUGACAUGCAUAAUUUUCUGGAUCUUAACAUGUAAGAUCUUGAUGUUGUUGUUCUGUCAUGUGAAUAUGCACAGAUCGGAGAGCUAAAGAAGCUCGUUGAAGAAGGUAAGAUAAAGUACAUCGGUUUAUCCGAGGCCUCUGCAUCAACAAUCAGAAGAGCACAUGCUGUUCAUCCCAUCACAGCAGUGCAAUUGGAGUGGUCGCUUUGGUCAAGAGAUGUGGAGGCAGAGAUCGUUCCAACGUGCAGGUAGGAUAUCACUCUGUUAAUUGUUUAUGCAGCAACAACAGCUUCCUUCUGACUCUGCUUUUCCUUUAAAAUGCUGACUAGGGAGCUUGGCAUUGGAAUUGUUGCCUACAGUCCUUUAGGACGAGGAUUCUUUUCUGUUGGCUCCAAGUUGGUGGAGAAUAUCUCUAAGGAUGACUUCAGACAGGUCUGUUCCUGCUUGUCAACAUAAUUAGAUGUUUACAUUGACUGUCAUUCUUAUUGAAGUGCUGGAAACCUGUUCUUGUGGUAUAAAGAAAAAGUAUCUGGAUGGGAUGAAUAAAACUUGGUGACACGAAUGCUUCGUGUUCUUAUAUGUCUUUAAUCCAGCACUUGCCAGACAUCCCACCUCUCUUGAUUCUAGAUAAAUGUAAAAUCACAAGUAACGGCUUUAAUGAGCCUGAAAGAGGCAGUUUCCUGGAUUCUCGUGCUUUUGGGAAUGAAUACAUAUAGGUUUAUAUGUAAGUUGCUCUGUUUCCCAGCCUUCCCAACAUUUGCUUAUCACUAUCCUUUCCCCACUUUCCACCCACCCUUUUUCUCUCAUCUUUCUUCACAAGAAUAGCGAUAUUUCCUCGAAAUAACUGACGCCAGUAUCGGGCUUUGGCCCUCCGUCCUUUUUCAUUCUCAUCUUUCUUCACAAGAUAAACUAUAUCUUGACACAACCAUUUCUUGAGCGCGGACUCCCGACACCCUUCUUAUGAGAGUUUUGGAUCAAGUUCCCAUCUGACAUAAAGCCAAUUGUGUAUUACUCCCCGCCAUUAGCGUUUGACUAGCGAUAGUGCUGGGCAAGUGAAGUAGCUAUUUUUCUUUGUAGCUAAAAGAGCUCUGCGUCUGAUAACAUUCUUCUACUCAUCAUCUACAUUUCUGAUUUUUUAUUUUAUGUGACUAAUGGUAUCAUCACACGUACAAAACUUAGAUUGUCGAGUUUGUUUCUGUUUUCACAUCCUACAUCAAGCCCAUCAGCCUUGUGUGGUAGUUGCUAGAUCACUUCGCUUGACGUUUCUAAUGCUUAUGAUUUGGGACAUGAUAUUUUAAUCAUUUCAAGAUAAUUUAUAACUGAUCAUGCUUUUUCAGAUACACAACGAUUGCACACUUCUAAAUGCUUAUUAUGUCAAGUAACAAGACAAUCCGAUGGCAUGCAAUGCAACCACUUUUGCACUUGUUGCUGUAGAAUUUAGCCUUAAGAGGAAAAUGAUAAUUUCUCAUAUGCUCUCUGCUGAGACAUUGCUCUAUGUUAUGCAGUAUCUACCAAGGUUCCGGCCAGAGAACUUGGCUCACAACACGAAGUUAUUUGACCGAGUGAAUGAAAUUGCGCAAAGAAAGGGAUGCACCACAUCGCAGUUAGCCCUGGCCUGGGUACACCACCAGGGUGACGACAUUUGCCCGAUUCCCGGCACAACCAAGAUCGAGAAUUUCAACCAGAACAUUGGAGCUCUGUCAGUGAAGCUUACACCGGAAGAGAUGGCCGAGCUUGAAUCGAUUGCUUCUGCGGACAAUGUCAAGGGUGGCAGGUACGAUGGAAGCAUGUCUACAUGGGAAAACUCCGACACUCCACCCCUUUCUUCUUGGAAACCUGCCUAGAAGCGUGUCUGCUUCUGUUGCUGCAUCUUUGAUGUGCAGAGGUUGAGCAUUUGCCGCUGAAGUAAUUUGAGUUUAUGUUGUGUGGCUGUUAUAAGUAUGUGUAAUAAGAGAGUGACUGUUUUCAUUUUGUACAUGUGACAUUCACUAUGAUAAGAUUAUGGAUGUGUACUAACCUUACUGGGGAAAGAUCACUCGAUAAACACGAGAGCGAGUUGAAUACGAACUGAGCCUGCCGUGUCGACUUUAUUGGGGUGACUUUUAGAAUCUGAGAAAUCGGGAUUUUGAAGAAUUCAAACUCAGUCGUACAUACUAGAGUGGUAUUCUCCACCAACCAUGAGUUCAAUCUCUUAAGACUGGAUGCUGCACAUAGAUGCAAAGCUUCGCUUUGUGUUUG